rnacentral:snRNA from 1 species
GGAUAUGAGGGUGAUAUCUGUCACGGCCCUGAUGGCCAGGGUUGAUUGGCGGUCUGGCUGGCUAGGCGAGUGUGCCCUUCCUCCCUCACCGCUCCUUGUGCGCCCUCCGGAAGCUGUGAGCUGGGUGGAGAGGACGGCCUUCCCGGUAGAGGAGGACCAUUCUUCAGUCAAGCGUAGACGAAUAGCUGCCCUCCCCUGCUAGAACCUCCAAACAAGCUCUCAAAUUCUUGUUUUUAUUGAAUAAAAUCAGUUUAAAAUGAAAGAGAUAUAUUUGAGAAAAUUACCUC